GAGAAGCAAGACAAAGUGACAGAUGUC
rnacentral:piRNA from 1 species